CAUAGUUUCAACGGAUAUCCUGUUGUCGCGUGUUGCCACGUCAUUUAGCUAUUC
ensembl:ncRNA D1081.14 ncRNA